UGGGGAAUUUUGGGCAAUGGGCGAAAGCCUGACCCAGCAACGCCGCGUGUGGGAUGAAGGCCCUCGGGUCGUAAACCACUGUCAGGAGGAAAGAAUGGCCGGCCGGAUAAUACUCGGUCGGUUUGACGGUACCUCCAAAGGAAGCGCCGGCUAACUCCGUGCCAGCAGCCGCGGUAAUACGGAGGGCGCAAGCGUUGUUCGGAAUUACUGGGCGUAAAGCGCAUGCAGGUGGCUGAGUAAGUCGAAUGUGAAAGCCCCGGGCUCAACUCGGGAACUGCAUCCGAAACUACUCAGCUAGAGUCCCGGAGGGGAGGGCAGAAUUCCCAAUGUAGGGGUGAAAUCCGUAGAUAUUGGGAGGAAUACCGGUGGCGAAGGCGGCCCUCUGGACGGUGACUGACACUCAGAUGCGAAAGCGUGGGGAGCAAACAGGAUUAGAUACCCCUGUAGUCC
rnacentral:rRNA from 1 species